CCUACGGGUGGCUGCAGUGGGGAAUAUUGGACAAUGGGGGCAACCCUGAUCCAGCCAUGCCGCGUGUGUGAAGAAGGCCCUCGGGUUGUAAAGCACUUUCAGUGAGGAAGAACGCCUGUUGGUUAAUACCCAUCAGGAAAGACAUCACUCACAGAAGAAGCACCGGCUAACUCCGUGCCAGCAGCCGCGGUAAUACGGAGGGUGCGAGCGUUAAUCGGAAUUACUGGGCGUAAAGCGCGCGUAGGUGGCUUGAUAAGCCGGUUGUGAAAGCCCCGGGCUCAACCUGGGAACGGCAUCCGGAACUGUCAAGCUAGAGUGCAGGAGAGGAAGGUAGAAUUCCCGGUGUAGCGGUGAAAUGCGUAGAGAUCGGGAGGAAUACCAGUGGCGAAGGCGGCCUUCUGGACUGACACUGACACUGAGGUGCGAAAGCGUGGGUAGCAAACAGGAUUAGAUACCCCGGUAGUC
rnacentral:rRNA from 1 species